CUAUCGCGAGUGCCAGACAUGCUCCAAAAUCGCGGACUGCUGAGUGUAUAUUGGCUGGCUUUAUCCCUGACGCCGCAAAACCUCUCCUUGCUGAGAGGAGGAAAGGGACAUCGGCUAGAGUGAAGAGAGCAUCGAAUGCAUAUGUUAUAUCACCAACGGAAAAUUCGUAAUACCUUCCGGGAGCGCUUCGCACGUCGAAUCCCAACGUACCAAGGAUACCCUGACUUAUGGUCGCGUUUCUCCGAGAGCCGACAGCAGCAUCCUUAUGCAACGACGUGCAUCUUUUUGCAUUUACGUUUGUUCCAAGGCGUACCGAGAAAGCCGGGCCCAUUAUUCAUAAUGCUACCACGGUGUUUGCGCCAUUAACAGCACGGUCUCCAUCUUGAACCAUUGCCAAACGCAAACCACCAUCGUCCUCUUCUCUCCCCACAGUUAUAAGGCGUUUGGGAGACUUAUUAAAACGAUGUUGAACGAACUCUUAAAACACGGCCAAAUGCGCGCCUGUGUUUCUUCCGCGAGAGGAAGCAGGGAAUCGAUAAAGCCGCGAAAGAAAUCGAGCGGAAAAUACCCUUUCCCGCCUUUCUGUGUUCUCGCAAUCUAUAUGCCCAAGUGAUUUUCCGAAACUGUGCAACGUUCCUCUUUUUCUACCACCUUCGAUACGAUAAUACGAAUGUACGCUACUGGCAUAUAUUUUGCAAUCCGAUAUCUUGGAAUUGCGAGGAAAGUAUUGCUGCAAAAAUUUGACAAUUUGGUUUAAAGAAAUCUGCUAGAACAAAAUAAUACAUCUGAUAAAGAUGCAAGUAUAAAUCCAAAGCAUAUUAACCGUGCAAACAACAAAACCAAAUGAAAAAAGAUGCAACAACAGAAUAUAAUAAAUAAUUUAUCUUAAUAAGAAAAACUAAAUUUUUACAUGGAAGAUUAGUGGUUGUUAACAUUCGUAAUAAAUGUAUAACAUUAGCAAAAAAUUAUUGACAAAUCUGAUAAAUCAUUUUAACUUAAUGUGAUAGUUAUAGGUGAUAAUCUCUGACAGAAAACGGAUCGCGGACAUUUCCAGAGACACGAUAAACUCCGAUAAAUAAUGAUCGACGUCUACCGUGCGCGAGAUUAUUAGGCAUCCGACAUAGAUAUAGGCAGAAAUCUAAGCUGAAGUGCCUGACUAGCCUGAUGAUCCUGGUAGGGGAGUGCCCGUGAAUUAUGUCCUGUGGCUAAUGCCAGUCAUCUCACGACAGUAAAUCGAUCCCGAAUUAUGCAACCCAGUGGGAAGGCUGCUUCGAGAUUUACUACUCUGUGAUUGAACGAAAUAGAAUUGUUUAAGGACGUAGCGUGACUGCUAAACAUUUAAGGUAACUUCUCCCUUUUUCAGUAAGGCGUAAUGUUCUCGGUCAGACGAGACAUGUUAAAAAGGUAUUUUAUUUCAAUCGCUACGUUUCUACAUGCAGUUUAUGCUUUUGCCGCUUCAAAUGACAUUAGGUAAAAAAUAAUUGCCUGUCUUGUCGCACGAAAAAAUUUUGGUCAAAUGUAUAACCGUGUUUCCAAACAAAAUAAAUAUUGAAUGGAAUUUUGUAAGCUCACUUUUUACAAGUUUAUUUAUUGCAAAUCAGCGAGAAUUGAAAACUUAAAAACACAUCAAACAAAACAAAAAUAGAACUAUAGCAGCAUCGAAUAUAAAUUGAAUAUAAAUCUCGUUGAUACAUAAAUCACGAAAUUUUUUAAAUUAAAUCGAUAAACCUAUUUAAAAAAGUGAUACAAAAUAUGCUGAUACGUCCAAUUUUAACGAUAAAUAUACAGUCCAUUUAAAAUACACAUACACAAUCGCGUCUCUAGAAUUAUUAUAAUGUAUUCUGCGGGACACACAAUCUGUCGUGCGAAGGGCUUUACAAUAUUUGGUUCGUUAUAACGGUAUUGAUUCAAAUGACCGAGAUUAGGGCCAAUUUCGAGUUGUCUAAAGUUUGGCAUACUUGGACGGCGGCCGAGCGGCGAGACAAUCAGACUGGUUCUAACGCGAUCAACAUUUGCGUGGAACGCAGAGUUGGUCACUUCGACCAGAUCCCACCUAAUCAGCGCAGUCGAUGUCUGCAAUUUAGCCCGUUGAUCCUUCUGCUUCGGUUUGGAAGCAGGGAACCACUCACUAUUCGCCACUCGACGGAGGACCUGGUUAUGUGCCGCGCAUACAUAUUCAUGCCGCCUCUGAGGCGCACUAGGGACGGUUGUUUGAGAUUAAUACGACGGUCUAAAGUCGUAAGCUACGGUAAGCCGUGGAAGGAUUUGUUGAUCCUUGAUGGUCGUGUUCGACAACAUUUGAUCCCAUGUCCAACGGCCGACUUUAAUUGGCCACCAUUAUUUGGCCAUUCAUUAAAUCAUUACAAACCAUCCUUUCUCGUGUCGACAUGAAUAAAAAAAUCACUCGAAACCUUAUCCUUAUAUUUUUCUUGUAUCCUUCUUGUAUUUUACAACUUCAAAACAUUACAAUAUUGCAACUAACGAUUUUGAAAACUUUUUUUAUUAUUAUAUGUUACUUAUUACUAGUUAUAAAAUAAGCAUUUUAAAGUUAUAUAGAAGAAUAUAUAUCACACAAAUUUAAUAGAUUAAAAUUAAAUUCAUUAACAAAUCUCGUCCCAUUUGUGAUAGUAAUAAUUAAAUUUUAGUUUAAGAACGGAAAUAAUAGGAAAUAGUUUCAGGAUGCGGUACAUUCAAGGUAAGAAAACAAUAAUGUUCAUUUUAAUGUACAGAUGUUGACAUUUCCGCUUUCUAAAUAAAGAUUCAUAAAUCUUGAAAACACUUGAAAUCUUGUUCAACAUUUUUGUCCCAUUCCUUCUAAAACAUUCAUCCUUUUAUCUAUCGUUAUAGUAUUUAAACAUGUUUUUUUCUACAACAGUUUUUCAAACUUUCAAAUAUAUCGAACAACUCGGUGAUCGGAAAUAGUUAAUAAUACUAAAAUAAAACAGAGAUCUUUUUUUACAUUUGUUACAUGUCAUUAAAAUCAAGUAACUCGAUCGUGCGGUCGCACUUCAGUCAGAGAGCCAUUUAGUUUCCAUAGACUUCCCGAACUCGUUUCCGAUAAAGUCGAUAAUAGAAUUAGCGAUGUUUGAGUCUAUUAUAUUACUCCUGUUACUUACGAUUUUCCAUUAAUAUGGCAAUUAGCCAGCUUGCGCAGAAUUCCGUUCUAGUAAUCUCAUUACGAAAAAAGACACAAUUCAAUUUCUAACUUAAUUAAUCUAAUAAUAAAUAUGUCUACUUCAAGAAUAGUUAUUUUUACAAAUUAACUAUCUUUUAAUUUAUCUUCUGUGUGUUAUAAAGAACUAAUUCCAAAGCUAUGCAAUUCUAUUUAACGCAUAAUUUCCUUUGUAAAAAAUAGAAUCCGGAAAAAACUUGUGAAUUAAAAGGUAAAAUUAGAUUGAAUUAAGAGCAAGUCGAUCAGGCUUGCAAUUCAGCCUGAUUUAUUUGUUAUUUCGACAUGAUGUUUGUGCCAACUAUCAGCACUACUGUUUCUUACGACUUCCUGAUCCGAAUUAAAUAGCGCACCAAAAAUCUAGUUGCCAAAAAUUCUUUCUCUCCGUUCUCGAUAAAAAAAAGCCCCUGCUUCAAUAUUAAACAAACACAGAGAUUUCUAACCAAAGAUAUUAAAUAAAUAGAGAAUCUUUCCGGAAAUUUAGUCGAAUAUUAAUACAGAAUAGACCUUUAUCCCGUAGAAAUUAAUCAAUUCGCUGAUUUCGCGUCUAUACUCGAUCCCCGUUCAAUAUCCAUUUUCUUAUAUUCUAUUUUUAGUCGUAUAUUCUAUUUUUAUGUCCUAUUUCCAUAUUUGCAAUUAUUGCAAGAGUGGAGCAAGAGAAAAAGAUAAAUAUAAAAAAAUAAAGCAUAAAGAUAAAAAAACAAUUUAUGUAUCAAACAGACUUUGCAAAAGAAACAUCAGAGAAAACAUGAUCGCCGUUCUAACGAAACCUCGCACCAUGCAGAGUAUCGCGGCUUCACUUCCGUCGAUCAAAUCAAGACAGUCUAAUAGAUUUAAUCUACGGUUCUCUACUCAAAGGUAAAUCCUACCCUUGCGUAGCAAGAGCUUAUCAAAUAAUCGAAAUAUUUAAUUCUUAGGAAAAAAAAACCUUUCUUACAAAAUCUGAUAAAAUUAUCCUUAAAUAUAAAGGAUUUUUAUUUUCGUUAAUUUAAUUUUUCGUAGUUUCAAUAAUUUAAUAAAAAAAUGUCGGAACAACGAUAAGUUUUGAAUCAUGAGAAAUUGUCAAAUAAUAUUUUGCAAAUUAGCUAUAUAAAUAAAAAAAAUUGUUAUUUAAAAUGGAAAAUAUAUAUUCGAUACUCAUCUCAAUAUUUCUCCUUUACGAAUUCUUAUUUUACGAUGCACGGAAAAGAUACGUUUUAAACAUCUCCAACCUUCGAAACUAUAAAUUAAGCUACAGGUCUCGUAUAGACUACUAACAUUGCUCUUUUACGAACGUCGUAUUGGCGACCGUUGCACGUCGGCGAGCUUAAAGUGGUGAAGUAAAUAGAGGCCGCAACUGACUCUAUUCUACUGACCCGUCGUUAAAUACUUUCUCAAACUUAUUACGUUAGAUACAGGAAAGUUCAUAAAAUGUGUAGUUUAAAGUCUACCGACGUAGCAAGAUAAUUUAUAAAAUUUUCUGUAAAAGCUGGAAACCUUUACAAUUUACCAAAAUAUUAAUUAAUAAUUUCCUGAAUAUAAACUCUAAAAUCUCUCGUCGAAUGCUCAAUCAUGGAAAUAAAACAAUAGAAAAUAAAGGAAAUUAAUACAGUUUUUUAACACAUAUUCACACACACGCACACAAAAUACUAAAUUAUUAUUCUUCUUUUUCAAGUAAGUAAUAGACAUACGCGAUUCCCAAGAAGCACGUAACGGAAGAAGCCCACUAUUCUCCGUUUACGAUUUGUAAUCCGCGUUAUAUCUUGUCGUAAAAACGCGCAGUAAAACGUUACCCCAACGAGAAAGAAAUUCGCAUUGCCUGCUAUGAAUACAAAUCUGCGUGCUCAAUUGGAGUUGGUUUACUAAAUGUUUCAAUCUCAGACGAAUAAAUUUGCUUGGUAUCCUAAAUAGUGUAGUACUUGCAAGAAGAUAUGUGAUCUUAGAUGCUUACAAUCUUCUAAAAGCAUAGAAUUGCAUAUCAAAGUUGGAUAAUCUCUCAUUGUCAAUUCCAGAAAUUAAGUCAACAAUUAAAAACUACAAAAUAAUAA